rnacentral:rRNA from 1 species
GACAGAGGUGCCGAGCGUUAGGCGGAAUCACUGGGCUUAAAGCGUGUGUAGGCGGGCCGUUAAGUACCUUGUGAAAUCCCCCGGCUCAGCCGGGGAAUGGCUGGGUAUACUGGCGGUCUUGAGCGAUCUAGGGGCAGAUGGAACAAGUGGUGGAGCGGUGAAAUGCGUAGAUAUCACUUGGAACGCCAAAGGUGAAGACAGUCUGCUGGGGAUCUGCUGACGCUGAGACACGAAAGCCAGGGGAGCGAACGGG